rnacentral:rRNA from 1 species
CCUACGGGCGGCUGCAGUGGGGAAUAUUGGACAAUGGGGGGAACCCUGAUCCAGCCAUGCCGCGUGUGUGAAGAAGGCCCUCGGGUUGUAAAGCACUUUCAGUGAGGAAGAACGCCUGGUGGUUAAUACCCAUCAGGAAAGACAUCACUCACAGAAGAAGCACCGGCUAACUCCGUGCCAGCAGCCGCGGUAAUACGGAGGGUGCGAGCGUUAAUCGGAAUUACUGGGCGUAAAGCGCGCGUAGGUGGCUUGAUAAGCCGGUUGUGAAAGCCCCGGGCUCAACCUGGGAACGGCAUCCGGAACUGUCGAGCUAGAGUGCAGGAGAGGAAGGUAGAAUUCCCGGUGUAGCGGUGAAAUGCGUAGAGAUCGGGAGGAAUACCAGUGGCGAAGGCGGCCUUCUGGACUGACACUGACACUGAGGUGCGAAAGCGUGGGUAGCAAACAGGAUUAGAUACCCGUGUAGUC